rnacentral:rRNA from 1 species
GGAGCAGCCCAGAGCCUGAAUCAGUAUGUGUGUUAGUGGAAGCGUCUGGAAAGGCGCGCGAUACAGGGUGACAGCCCCGUACACAAAAAUGCACAUGCUGUGAGCUCGAUGAGUAGGGCGGGACACGUGGUAUCCUGUCUGAAUAUGGGGGGACCAUCCUCCAAGGCUAAAUACUCCUGACUGACCGAUAGUGAACCAGUACCGUGAGGGAAAGGCGAAAAGAACCCCGGCGAGGGGAGUGAAAAAGAACCUGAAACCGUGUACGUACAAGCAGUGGGAGCACGCUUAGGCGUGUGACUGCGUACCUUUUGUAUAAUGGGUCAGCGACUUAUAUUCUGUAGCAAGGUUAACCGAAUAGGGGAGCCGAAGGGAAACCGAGUCUUAACUGGGCGUUAAGUUGCAGGGUAUAGACCCGAAACCCGGUGAUCUAGCCAUGGGCAGGUUGAAGGUUGGGUAACACUAACUGGAGGACCGAACCGACUAAUGUUGAAAAAUUAGCGGAUGACUUGUGGCUGGGGGUGAAAGGCCAAUCAAACCGGGAGAUAGCUGGUUCUCCCCGAAAGCUAUUUAGGUAGCGCCUCGUGAAUUCAUCUCCGGGGGUAGAGCACUGUUUCGGCAAGGGGGUCAUCCCGACUUACCAACCCGAUGCAAACUGCGAAUACCGGAGAAUGUUAUCACGGGAGACACACGGCGGGUGCUAACGUCCGUCGUGAAGAGGGAAACAACCCAGACCGCCAGCUAAGGUCCCAAAGUCAUGGUUAAGUGGGAAACGAUGUGGGAAGGCCCAGACAGCCAGGAUGUUGGCUUAGAAGCAGCCAUCAUUUAAAGAAAGCGUAAUAGCUCACUGGUCGAGUCGGCCUGCGCGGAAGAUGUAACGGGGCUAAACCAUGCACCGAAGCUGCGGCAGCGACGCUGAUGCGUUGUUGGGUAGGGGAGCGUUCUGUAAGCCUG